GAUGAACGCUGGGGGCGUGCUUAACACAUGCAAGUCGAACGAAGCCCUCGGGCUUAGUGGCGGACGGGUGAGUACGCGUGAGAAUCUACCUUCGAGAUGGGGACAACCGUUGGAAAUGACGGGUAAUCCCCAAUAAGCCGAAAGGUGAAAGGGUUUCCGCUCGCAGAGGAGCUCGCGUCCGAUUAGUUAGUUGGAGGGGUAAGAGCCUACCAAGGCAGCGAUCGGUAGCUGGUCUGAGAGGAUGAGCAGGCACACUGGGACUGAGACACGGCCCAGACUCCUACGGGAGGCAGCAGUGGGGAAUUUUCCGCAAUGGGCGCAAGCCUGACGGAGCAACGCCGCGUGUGGGAAGAAGGCUCUUGGGCUGUCAACCACUUUUCUCAGGGAAGAAGUCCUGACGGUACCUGAGGAAUCAGCCUCGGCUAACUCCGUGCCAGCAGCCGUGGUAAUACGGAGGAGGCAAGCGUUAUCCGGAAUUAUUGGGCGUAAAGCGUCCGCAGGGGGCACUUCAAGUCUGCUGUCAAAGGUCGGAGCUUAAGUCCGGUUCGGCAGUGGAAACUGGAGUGCUAGAGGGCGACAGGGGUAGAGGGAAUUCCCAGUGUAGCGGUGAAAUGCGUAGAGAUUGCGAAGAACACCGUUGGCGAAAGCGCUCUACUGGGUCGGACUUGACCCUCAGGGAC
rnacentral:rRNA from 1 species